GAUGAAGAACGCAGCGAAAUGCGAUAAGUAAUGUGAAUUGCAGAAUCCAGUGAAUCAUCGAAUCUUUGAACGCACAUUGCGCCCGCCAGUAUUCUGGCGGGCAUGCCUGUCCGAGCGUCAUUUCAACCAUCAAGCCCCAGGCUUGUGUUGGGGACCUGCGUCCGACGCAGGCCCUGAAAACCAGUGGCGGGCUCGCUGUCCACACCGAGCGUAGUAGCUAACACCUCGCAACUGGAGAGCGGCGCGGCCACGCCGUAAAACACCCAACUUCUGAAUGUUGACCUCGAAUCAGGUAGGAAUACCCGCUGAACUUAAGCAUAUCAAUAAGCGGAGGA
rnacentral:misc_RNA from 1 species